rnacentral:rRNA from 1 species
UGGGGAAUAUUGGGCAAUGGGCGAAAGCCUGACCCAGCGACGCCGCGUGGGUGAUGAAGGCCUUCGGGUCGUAAAGCCCUGUCAGAAGGAAAGAACGAUCUUAUGGUGAAUACCCGUGAGAUGUGACGGUACCUUCGAAGGAAGCACCGGCCAAUUCCGUGCCAGCAGCCGCGGUAAGACGGAAGGUGCAAGCGUUGCUCGGAAUCACUGGGCGUAAAGGGUGCGUAGGCGGCUUCUUAAGUCUGGUGUGAAAGCCCAGGGCUCAGCUCUGGAAGUGCACUAGAUACUGGGAAGCUUGAGUAUCGGAGGGGAGAGUGGAAUUCCUGGUGUGGCGGUGAAAUGCGUAGAUAUCAGGAGGAAUACCGGUGGCGAAAGCGACUCUCUGGACGAUUACUGACGCUGAGGCACGAAAGCGUGGGGAGCAAACAGGAUUAGAUACCCUCGUAGUCCCUGAGCGGGCUGGCAAGGCGCAU